rnacentral:rRNA from 1 species
UACAGAGGUCUCAAGCGUUGUUCGGAUUCAUUGGGCGUAAAGGGUGUGUAGGUGGCGCCGUAAGUCGGGUGUGAAAUUUUUGGAGCUUAACUCCGAAACUGCAUUCGAUACUGCGGUGCUUGAGGACUGGAGAGGAGACUGGAAUUCAUGGUGUAGCAGUGAAAUGCGUAGAGAUCAUGAGGAAGACCAGUGGCGAAGGCGGGUCUCUGGACAGUUCCUGACACUGAGACACGAAGGCCAGGGGAGCAAACGGG